AUCAACUGUGCCCUCGAUCCCCUCACACACUGCUGCGCCGUAAAUACUAUCAUUUAUAUCAACAAAUCAAGGUAGGGAAAUUCCUGAACCAGUUGAGAAUGGCGGGCCCACCGUACCAUGCAAGGCUGAGAGAGAAUCUGCAGGACCCAAUGAUUUGCUUCCAGAGUGCGAUGAGUUUGGUCACUAUCUCCCAAAGCAAUGCAAUGGGGACAGUACUAUGUGCUGGUGUGUCUCACAAUGUGGGGAUGUUCUUAUGGAAACUAAAGGCGGACCUGAUCUAGUUUGUGAGCAAGUAGAUCCACCUUGCCAUUCAGCUUUAGGUGAAAGCAAAGCAAGAGGUGUUCUGUUUGGUAAGUUCAAACCCAAGUGCCAUGAGAAUGGAUUCUAUGACCACACCCAAUGUCUUGGAAGUGUCUGCUGGUGCACAGAUCGAUGUGGGAAUCGAUUAGAGGACUCCAAACACUAUCUCUGGAACAGAGGAUUUUGCGCUUGCCCAAAUAAUGACCAAGCCUGGAAGUGUACGAGCAACCCAUGCGAUGACUUGGAGGCGCCUGCUUGCCCAGACCACCCAGAUGCUGUCUGCAGACCAUUUAUAUGUGGAGGAUGUUCGUACAAGUUUUAUGUGAAUCAACAGGAGGUGGACUGUGGAGCCCCGGAACCGGAAGUGGAACCAGAACCGGAACCAAUAGCUGUAAACCGUGAAGAGGGCUUGCCUUGUGUUGACAACUUAGGAACCACACGCAUGGAUAGGGCUACUUGGAAGGUGGAUAAAUGUGAGUUUUGCUGGUGUCUCAAGGGUGAGGUAUUGUGCGUAUCACCAAAUUGUACUGCUCCUCUAGAAGGUCGAGAUUGCACCAUCAAGCCAGGAACUCAAGACGAUUGCUGCCCAUCGUAUGACUGUCAUGAUGAAGAAUCCAUAGAGCCUCCAAUGGUCAGCCCAUGUACAGACUUGAGUGGAACUGUACGAGAAACUGGGGAAAGCUGGAAAGAAAGCAGAUGCGUGACAUGCUUUUGUUCCAGUGAGGGUAGGGCAUGUGCCUCACCAAUGUGUAUGGGACCACCAGCGGGGCAACAGUGUAGAAUAAGGCCGGGAACUGAAGAUGACUGCUGCCAUCAAUAUGAUUGCGAAGCUUUAAACCUUGAAGAGGGCUUGCCUUGUGUUGACAACUUAGGAACCACACGCAUGGAUAGGGCUACUUGGAAGGUGGAUAAAUGUGAGAUUUGCAGGUGUCUCAAGGGUGAGGUAUUUUGCGUAUCACCAAAUUGUACUGCUCCUCUAGAAGGUCGAGAUUGCACCAUCAAGCCAGGAACUCAAGACGAUUGCUGCCCAUCGUAUGACUGUCAUGAUGAAGAGCCACCAAUGGUCAGCUCAUGUACAGACCGGAAUGGGACUGUACGAGAAACUGGGGAAAGUUGGAAAGAAGGCAGAUGCGUGGACUGCUUUUGUUCCAGUGAGGGUAGGGCAUGUGCCUCACCAAUGUGUAUGGGACCACCAGCGGGGCAACAGUGUAGAAUAAGGCCGGGAACUGAAGAUGACUGCUGCCAUCAAUAUGAUUGCGAAGGUUCUCUUGGUAUAGCCGAGGAGGCUUCAUGUACUGACAAAGAUGGACAUGUGCGUGAUCAUGGAGAACGUUGGAAAGAAGGCAGAUGUAAGGACUGUCUCUGUGACGAUGGUUCCUCUGUAUGUUCAACCCCAAAAUGUCGAGGGCCACCGGCAGGGAAAGAGUGUAAAGUUAGUCCAGGAACUGAGGAAAACUGCUGUCCAGAAUACAAUUGUGUGGAUGAACUAGUAAUGGUCACAACAUGUACAGACUGGAAUGGAAUUGUACGAGAAAAUGGGGAAGAAUGGAAACAAGGUAAAUGCGUGGACUGCUUUUGUUCCAGUGGGCGUAAGGCAUGUGUCUCACAAAUGUGUGCGGGACCACCAGCGGGGCAACAGUGUAGAAUAAGGCCAGGAACUGAAGAUGACUGCUGCCAUCCAUAUGAUUGCGAAGUUUCCAGCCCCUGCGUUCUCCCAGAUGGAACCAUACACACCCAUGGCGACAGGUGGAGUGUGGGUAAAUGCAUGAGUUGUCUGUGUAACAACGGCUUGUCGGAGUGUAACUCCCCGAUGUGUUUGGGUCCACCCAUGAGCGAUCAGUACUGCUCUGUGAGGCCAGGUACAGAGGAAAACUGCUGUCCAGAAUACGAUUGUGAAGGUUGUGUUGAUACGAUGGGGAACCAUUACGCAGUCAAUGAGACGUGGGGCGACCCCUGCAACCAAUGCAAGUGCAAAGGUGAUCAAGAUGCUUACUGCGAGACAGAGGUGUGCAUCGGUUUGAAUCGGGCUGUAUCUCCUCCAUGCCACUGGGUUAUCCAGCCAGAUGAGUGCUGUCCUAGGGAUACAGGGCCUGGUGGAACCGUCUGUGAUGAACCUAUUUCUGCCUGUGAUCCUGGUAGUAGUAUCGCCCCUGAGUGCCCUACACACCUCUGCCUAGAGGCAACAUGUUCCAACCAUCCCGAUGCACAGUGCAUGAUCAGUAGAUGUGGACAUUGUCACACUGUCUUCUAUCUAGAGGGAUACAAAGUUGAAUGUGGAAACGAACCCAUCACAAUAAGGCCUGUCUGCCCGAAGCCGGUCUCAAUGACGUGCAUAGUGUCCCCAUGCCCAUCACAGGAAUGUACCUACCACCCAGAAGCAGUCUGUUACACCGACUACUGUGAGCCGUGCCAGGCUGUAUUCUACGACAAGAAUGACAGACCGCUGAUUUGCGGGGAUCCUUCAAAUAUUGUUGUCCAGUGCAAGGAUUCUAAAAAUACCAAGCAUGCUGUUGGAGACAUGUGGGAGGAAGGCUGCAACGAGUGUACCUGUCAAGCCAGUGGUAUUCCCGCAUGCACGGCUAAUAAAUGUGCCAUCGACAGGAACCAUCUCCCCCUGCUGUGCGAAGCUGUGUAUGGAGAAGUUGACAAAUGCUGUCUGGCUCGCAUGGUUUGCUAUGAAGCAAUCUCUGAGUGUCCACAAUAUAUAACGGUGGCACCAUCUUGUCCGGAUGAUCUUUGCGUGAGUGCGACCUGUGAGACGCAUCCCCAGGCCAAGUGUCGCAUCAGUCGCUGUGGAGGAUGCUCAGUCAAGUUCUUCGAUGAGAACAAACAACCCAUUGAGGAGUGUUCUGGGCAACCCCUUGAUUUGUGUCCAAAUGACGGCCCCGUAGUGGCUUGUUUUGCGCCAGCUUGUCUUGAUGCGACAUGUGAUUCAAAUCCCAGCUUGACAUGCCAUGCUGAUGCCUGCGAGCCUUGCCAGCCGGUCUUCCAUGAUGACAAUAACAACUUGCAGUCAUGCACUCCUGUGCUUGAGUUGUGCAUGGACUCUUCAAACACCAACACGUAUGCCGUUGGCGAGAGCUGGGAGGAGGACUGUAAGGUGUGCACCUGUAGUGAUAAUGGCAUGUCAACAUGCAUUGCUAAAACAUGUGUCAUCGACGGAAGCCAUCUGCCUCCGCUGUGUGAAGUGGUGUAUAGAGAAGGGGACAACUGUUGUCCGGCUCGUAUGGUCUGCUAUGAAGCAAUCUCUGAGUGUCCACAAUAUAUAACGGUGGCACCAUCUUGUCCGGAUGAUCUUUGCGUGAGUGCGACCUGUGAGACGCAUCCCCAGGCCAAGUGUCGCAUCAGUCGCUGUGGAGGAUGCUCAGUCAAGUUCUUCGAUGAGAACAAACAACCCAUUGAGGAGUGCACUGGGAAGCGUGUAGAUUUGCACACCGUGUGUACCAUUGGCGGCCCUGUAGUGGCUUGUUUUGUGCCAGCUUGUCAUGAUGCGACAUGUGAUUCAAAUCCCGGCUUGACAUGCCAUGCUGAUGCCUGCGAGCCUUGCACGCCGGUCUUCCAUGAUGACAACAACAACUUGCAGUCAUGCACCCUUGGCACCGCGAAUUUAUGCAAUCCGGCUGUGAAGAUUGUUACACCGCGUGGUACCCGGACUCGCCCCCGAUGUCUAUGGAAUGGCAAGUUCUCCCCGAAGCAGUGUGACAGCAUGGGUUACUGUUGGUGUGUGGGGGCAGAUGGCUCCAUGGCUGACACUCCAGAUCAAUCACAAACUGGACCAGACCUGAUCUGUGGAAUCAGUCUGCCAUGCCAAUACGAAGUCAAGAUAAACAAGGUCAAGAAGGAAAGAGGAAAGCCUGUGACCUUUAACCCCACAUGCCUAACCAACGGCUUUUACGACACUGUUCAGUGCAACGCUGAGGAGUGCUGGUGCAGCGAGAAGGAUGGAUCUGUGGUGAUUGGGUCCAAAAAGCCACAAGGGGAGCCUCUGAAAUGCAGCUCUGUUUGUCUUGGGGAUCCAACCAGGACCAUACCACACACUUUUUGCACUCGAACGGUUGACAAAUGCCCCAGUAACUCCUUCUGUCAUAUCCCAACCAACCGCUCCAGUGGCAGGUGUUGCCUCCUCUAAGGAAACCAGCAAUUUUGGCGCCCGCACUGUGGACACUAAUGAACGACCAUGCAUCGACAGUGAGGGAAAGCAGCAUGAUCAUGGAGACGAAUGGAACCAGGGAGCGUGCAUGCAUUGUCAAUGUUACAAUGGUUUCCCUGCAUGUAUGUCGCCAAUGUGUAUGGCUCCAAUUCUUGGGGGUGUAAAUUGUAGAGAUCAACCAGGACAAGAAAAUGUCUGUUGCAAUCGUCGGCACAUUUGUGAAGAAGCAUUGUCUCUGUGUGAAGCUGAAUCAACAGUGGCAUCUUGCCCGGACUCACUCUGUGACAUCUUCACCGAGCAUUUUGAUGAGUGUCGCAUAGAUAGAUGUGAAGGCUGCUCUGCCGAAUUCUAUAAGAAUGGUAAACUCGUUGGAGGUCCUGUGGAAAUCAAACCGGAAUGCCCGCCAGGACCUGUGAUUAACUGUUUUGUGGCACCGUGUGAUUAUGAUAGAUGUGACCCUUAUCCCAACACAAACUGUCAUGUUAACUAUUGCGACCAUUGUAAGGCAGUGCACUAUGGCAGCAAGAACGAGGAGCUGGAUUGCAGACCGUUGAAGGGAAAAUAAGGCGCCUGUUACAACAAAUUCUUUGAGCUCUGUUGUCUUGCAUGGAGGAAGUUGCCUUACUAACACAAUCAACUCAUUAUUUUAUUAAUUUGUCAGUAAAGUUUCAUAAUCAUUUAAGCUUGAAGAAUUAAUAUCUUAUCCACUAUUAAACUUUCUGAACAUUUCUUAUGUUCGAUCAGAAUGUUGUCAGUUAGAUUCCUGAUUUUGUUGAAAGCUAAAUUUAUCAGAAGAACUACAUGUACCAUGGUUAUUGGUUUUCAUUUAAAGUUUUAAAGUUUUUGCAGCGUGAUACAAUAGACACUUUUGAAUUUAGUUUAACUCAAGUCGAUCACUUUAUUUCUACAACAAUGCAGACCAUAGUAAGCAAAAAUCAAAAGUUAAUUACAUUUGAACGUAGAUGUAUCAUACUAACAUCAAUGAUAUGGAGGGAUUUAUGAAAAUUAUGUUGUCUGGCAUGGAGGAGAGUGCAUUACUAACUCAAUCAACGCAUCAUUUUUGUUAAUCCAUUAAAAAUUUAGUAUUUUGUAAUUUAUGAAAGUUGUAUGGUUAGGCUUGCAUACAAUGGCACUCUGCACUUAUGCUAAAAAUAGUUAAGUUCUCAGGUCUCAGACACCUCGUUAAAAUUCGCUAAUGUACGCGGGAUUAUUUGUUUGAUUUGAAUUGGUUUAAUUCCAUAAGGGCCAAAGGCCGAAUUGGAAUUCCUUAACAAUUAUUUAAAAGAACAGAUUGUGAACAACUGAAAAAUACAAAAA